rnacentral:lncRNA from 1 species
AUGUAGAAGGAAUGCCAACAGAGUGAGCCAGCACAGAAAGACAAACUCAGAUAUUUCUUGUUCAAAAUCUAGAUUAAAAACUCUAUACUUAUUCAUAAACAUAUACACAUAUAUGGGCACACGAGACAUAAAAAAACAAGGGUGAAUGGAACAAGGACACGACAGUUUCACAGUAUGGGGUUGAAGAGAGAAGGUUUUUAUUGUAAAUACGAGGAAGAGUACAGCCAGAAGCAUCUGGAAGAGUCCAGAUCAAUGGGAGAAAAUGGUAGACUAAACAUGGCCAGUAGACUGAACUGGACUUAUUUAGUAUAACAAAAACAGUGUGAUCAUCAAAGGGAACAGUUGGGAGUUCCUGGGGACUUGUUCCUUUUCAUUCUGAGACCUUGAACUGUGGAGCUAAUGGCUUUGUUCUCAGGGGAGUGUUGAAGAAUCCUUCCAUGAAAAACUUUCACCCUCAGGACCCAAAUUAAGACUCAGAAGCCACUCUAACCUUCUUGUAACAAGGUGAACACAAAACUAAAAACAAGGCAGAAGACCCUACCUCAACCCCCCAAAAGCCCUACCAGAGAAGACUGGAAGACAACUAGAACAUUCCUGCCGGGCUUACACAAAUGGUGACCGCUUUACCUUGUCCCCAAACCUUUGAUGCACCAGUUGCACGUGGGAGUUGACAGAUGCGUGGGGGAGCAGAUGGAAGUGCAGAAAAGGCCAAGCAAACCUUCAAUCUGAACUUGGCCCCCUGGAAUGUUGGCCUUGGAUCCUUAAGUAUAUCAGAUUGCCUCUUGCCAUUCAACUGUCCGAGGCUUCCCAGGUUAUAUUCAGGCAAGACUGUUGUUCAAAGCCAUCCACCAGUGAGCAAACCAGAACUAAAAAGCCAGGAGGGUGUGAGGAGAAGCAGAGGUCUCCUGGGGGUGAAAUGCUCACCCACAUUGCGAGGUUGCUGCUGCCCCAGAGCCCCUAAAAUGGGCUGCAAAGGCCUGGGAACAGGGACAUGGUAACUAAUAAAUAAAUACAAGAAGGGGCAA